rnacentral:lncRNA from 1 species
UAAUUUCUUUUUUUUUCUUUUCUUUUUUUCUUUUUUUUAAUUUUGAGACAGACUAUCACUAAGUUGCCCAGGGAGACCUUGCCAUCCUCCUGUCUCAGGUCCCCAGGUAGCUAGACCUCAGGCUUGGGCGUCCUGGUUUGGCUGUGAAUCUAUCUUUAUUACACAGAUUGUCUAAUCCAGAGCCUUGCCUUUGCUAGACAGAGGUUCUACUACUCAGGUACUCAGCUACACCCACAGCCUAGUCAUUCUUUGUACAUUCCAAGCUUUUGUCAAAUGUAUUAACUUUUAUUUUAAAGUCUAUACUUUUUUUGUAGUUAAAAAAUAACUCCUAAAACUGUUUAUUCAGACAUAUUUAUUAAAUAUAAAGGACCCAUUGAGCUCGAAUGGUAGAAGCCCAUCUCUAAUGGCUGCAUUCAAGUGCUAAUGUAACUAGAACGUGCUGACAUUAUCAUAGCUUCUGCAGAUUUCAUCUAUCAUAGACACCAGGACACGUCUUGGUUCUAUGUGUAUUUACAGCAAUGAUUCUAAACAAAUGGUUAUAAGCACAGCAUCCCCUGCAUAGCAAGAAUUCAAACAUUUGUUGAACUGAAACAGCUCAUGAGAACGAGCCUGUCACUUGGGCAUACCAAUAAGCCUUUACUGAAGUAAGUGUUGUAUUUAUUAAGGUGUUUUAUUACUACCACCACCAGAAAGAGCACACUGACCUCUGCAGCUGAUUCCUCCUCAGUCCACCCUCGCUCAGCCUUUAACUCGGGACCAUCUAUUCCCGUAUCCUCAGUUACUCUCAGGGUAGUUUUGACAUACUCUUGCCAUUUCCUCGUCUUUUCAUACCUGAUUUAAAUGUCUUGGUUUAAUUACUGCAGUUUGGCUGUUGCCUACCCAGCUAUUCCCUUAACCAGUACUAUGGAACACCCUUGCCUGUCUUGUUAAAGAUGUCUCUGUGUCUACUCAGGGCCAGCCUCUUUGUCCAUUCCUACUGUUCAUAGUCCUGUCCACUAGCUGUAGAGGUCUAAACUCCUGACUCAAUUCCUUUGUACUCAUGCUUUCUCAGUCUUGUUGGAAGCUUGGUAAACCAUCUGCAUUCACAAGGCAACAAGAAGCAACUUUGCAGAGCUCCAGAGGAAGUCAGACUGUGGUUCAUUCUCCUCUUAGUAGUAUAUCAUCUGUAUGUUGGCGUCUCAAAUUGGGGCUCAUGUAAUUGAGUCACGAUGACUUUGGCAAGCAUAGGGUUCUGAAUGCCAAACAGCCAAAGUUUGAUUCAAAUUAAGUACAUCCUAGUGUUGCCUGGUGCAACACUGUUUCCUGCAGCCUGGAUCCGGAACACAUACACCCUCAGUUUGCACUCAGCCAGCCAGUGAGCCGUAAACACCAACACGCACUGCCUAAAACACCUCUGUUUGGGUUUAACUAUUAACAAAUGAACUGCAUCUCAUUUGUACAUACAUUUCAUUUGGGUGUACAUAUUUAUUUUUUCAAAACAGAGUAUCUGAGUAGUCCUGGCUGUCUUGGAACUUACUUUGUAGACCAGGCUGUCCUUAAUCUCAGAGACCCUCCUGCCUCUGCUUCCAAGUUCUAGGAUUAAAGACAUGCACCACCACUGCCUGGCUCUGUAUUGGUUUUAUUAAAAAUUCCAAACAAUAUGCAAGACCUACUAUACUCUGCACCAACAGGUCUGACUGACCCAAAAGGAGAUGAUGGAAACCAUGGCCUGGGAGGUACAGACAAUUACUUGAAAGGGAUGGUUAAUACAGUGAUUUCAGACAGUAAGAAGGCUUGCCAAUAUAUCUUUUUCAUGAUGUUCUUGCUAGAAAGGUGAAAUUGCAGGAGCCUGAGUCUGAACACUCUUGGAGCUUUGUGGUUAUGGUAGCAGUUCAGAAAGGCUCCUGGGGACAAGACAGGUGCUACAAGCCAAGCAAGCUUAUGGAUCUGAACCACCAGUCCAAGAAUCUGGUCAAAAUUCAGAUUUUCUUUACAAAAUAUGCUAUAUGUUUUAUUAUUCUCACACUUUUCAACUAUUAAAAGACAAAAACUAAAAAUAUAUAAAUAUUUUAAAGGAACUAUUUAUUUUUAUAUACAUAUGUAAGCAACAGUU